UACGGAGGGGGCUAGCGUUGUUCGGAAUUACUGGCGUAAAGCGCGCGUAGGCGGACCUGCAAGUCGGGGGUGAAAGCCCGAGGCUCAACCUCGGAACUGCCUCGAUACUGCGGGUCUCGAGUCCGGGAGAGGUGGAGUGGAAUUCCUAGUGUAGAGGUGAAAUUCGUAGAUAUUAGGAAGAACACCGAGUGGCGAAGGCGGCUAGC
rnacentral:rRNA from 1 species